GACGAACCUUGCAGACGUUAUUCGGAAUCACUGGGCUUAAAGGGUGCGUAGGCUGUGCAGAAAGUUGGGUGUGAAAUACCUCGGCUUAACCGAGGAAUUGCGCCCAAAACUACUGUGCUCGAGGAAGAUAGAGGUGAGCGGAACUUAGGGUGGAGCGGUGAAAUGCGUAGAUAUCAGGAGGAACACCGGUGGCGAAAGCGCUCAUCUGGCCCAAUACUGACGCUGAGGCGCGAAAGCUAGGGGAGCAAACGGG
rnacentral:rRNA from 1 species